AUUCGGAGCACAGAGUCUUCUUAGCCACUGGACCACCAAGGAAGUCCCUGUGAGAAAUCUUUAAGCAUUUGAUCUUUAGGCUGUCAGCAAUUGGCAGCCAUUGAAGAGUUUUAGCAAAGGGUUUUUUUUUCAUCGUUAGAUUUGUAUUCCAGAAAGGGAACUGUUGAAGCCUGUGGGGCACAAUUUGCAGGAAGCCAGUUAUUACUAUGCCAAAUAGAAAAAAGACUCAAAUGUAAGUAAUUGGGAAUAAGGGGUAGGGGAAAUGAUGAGAUCGAUUUAAGAAAAAUUUGGAGAUUUGUAGAGUGUGGGAAGUGAAGGUAAAGAGUCAAGAAUGAGUCUGAAGUUUUUGAUGUGCUCGGCUCAGUGAAUGGUGAUGGUACAGACCAUCACUAUUUUCUGACAUGUAAAUACCUCAAGAUUGAGAUUACUUGAGAAAGAUCAAGUUGGGGAGGAAGGUCAGGAGUUCAGUUUGGUCAUUUGACUUUGACUCUGUAAGGUGUCGGAGAAGGCGAUGGCACCCCACUCCAGUACUCUUGCCUGGAGAAUCCCAGGGACGGGGGAGCCUGGCGGGCUGCCAUCUACGGGGUCGCACAGAGUCGGAUGCAACUGAAGCGACUUAGCUUCAGCAGCUGUAAGGUGUGAGCAUAACCAGUAGACAUGUCCAAAGCUCGAGGGAAAAGGUGGGAGCUAGGAAUGGAGAUUUAGCAAUUUUCUGCAUCUAGGUGGCUAGAAUUGUAGGAGUAGGUGAGAUAACCUUGAUAAAGAAGUUCUCCACCUUGGCUGCACCUUACAGUCACUCAGAGGGACUGAAAAAUCCCAAUGCCCAGGCCAUAUCACCAACCAAUCAAAUCAGGGAUGAGACCCAGGCAUGAUAACUUUUUUUAAUUUCCCAGGUGAUUCUGUUCCCAGUGAAAAACUCUUGUCUCAGAAAAAAUUCAGAAAUGAGACAGGGAGUUCAGGUAAGUUAGUAAAGUGAGGAUUUAAGUGAUAGUAUGCUCUGGAGAUGAGAGUGGGCAGUUUCAGGAGAAUAGCUGCCCUGAGUUUCUUUGGCAAGCUGGUUAUGUGGGGUGUACAAAUGAAGGGGUGGAAUAUUCAUUGGGGAAGGUGAGUUUGGAGGGGGGUCAUAGUCCCUGAUUUUCAUCCCGUUGCCACCUUCCCAAGGGGAGAAGGGAUUUUUGUCCUUAUUUUGCUUUGAUUCGAAGUGUCAUGGCCUCGGUGCAUGAUGGGUACUUCUUAUCUGCAAGGCUAAGUAUAUUGUAAUGACAACAUAAGAGCAAAAGUCAACAUUCAGAUGCUGGAGAUUCUCACCUUUGCCCACCUUUCUUUGUCUGCCUCCAGGACACUUUUCACCCCCUAAAUGAGUGCUUUCCUGUAGUCUGGAGGUCCUGCUUUUCUUUUCUGCCCAUGGACCCCUGCUGUUUACAAGCUGUGUAGUUUCCUGCCAUCUGGCUCACACAUCCCUUUCUCUGCUCAUACCUAGCUACCUGCCUCCUGUAACAAUUCUCAUAUGCAGCCAGGUUUGAGAAUCAACUUCAGGAUAAGGAAAGAAGACAUGCCAAGGUAGAACCCUGAAGAAACUCAACAUGUAGAGAGAGAACAGAGAGCAGGGCAAAGAAGCAGUGGAAACCCAAAGAGAGUAAUGUCAUGGAAACUAUGGGAAAAGGAGGUUUCAACAAUAUGGAAUAAUUUCAAGGAAUAAAAGAAUCAAGAGGAACUUCCCUGGUGGUCCAGUGGCUAAGUCUCCAUGCUCCCAAUGCAGGGGGCCUGGAGUUUGAUUCCUGGUCAGGGAACUAGAUCCCAUAAGCUGCAACUAAGAGCUGACGCAGCCAAAUAAAUAAAUAUUGGAAAAAAAAAACCAAAGAUGAGAAAAGAUUGUCAAAUAAGGUGGGAGCCCAAUCAUGUUGGGGGAAAUAGUCCCAUAAUCAUAUACAUGUGUGUGCACGCACAUACCAGUCAGCACCAACAUGAGGUUUUCCCCAUUAUCCUGAGCAACAAGUGGGAAGGACCAGAAGAAGCAAAAGGCUAGAUUGAUCCAGGGUUGGGAGUUUGCAGGGACAAAGUACAAGGGCUUAAGAGGUUGAGGAUGUGAUGACUAACCAUAGAGAGAAUAAGGAAAUAAGGUGAGUGAUACAGUGAAGGGAAAUUGGGUGGUUUGGGGACUGAAGGUCUUCAUAUGAUCAAAGAAUGCGUACAGCACAUAUACUCGGAGUGGCCAAUGGCCUUUCCACCAAGCUGCUUCCUCCUCCUGCCCCGCCCCAAGUAUCCGGAAUUACUGGAGUUGAGAUUAAGGAAUUGAGGCAGGGCGGUGGCUGAAUCUUCCCAGAGAAGCCAAAACUCCACCCAGGAUGAAGCAGCACGGCAUUGAGGUCACACAGGUGUCAAAGCUGUCAGUGAAGGUGAGCUGAGGCCUGGAGGCCUGGUAGAGAGUGACUGGGUUAGAUAAGGCACGUAUCUCUUGGGUGGUUGUUGUUUCUUCAUUAACUCUGGGAACAGUGGGUUGCAAGUAUCAAAAAGGCCCCCUUCCUGUUUUUCUCAACCCUGCACUUUAAAAGGCAGACUGUUUGUUUCCCUGAAGUCAAGCUUGUCUAUUACUGAGAUAUUUAAACCUGUCUAAGAUGCUGCUGUGUCAUAUACGAUUCAGGAGCAUUGCUUUUCUUUUUUCCUUCUUUUUAUAUUCUUACAUUUUUUACACAUUCAACGUUUUUGGUAACUUUUCAUUUUGAUAUAAUUUUAAAUGCAUGCACUAAAAAGCUGUAAAAAAGAGUACAAGGAAUUCUUUUAUACCCUUUAUCCAGAUUCAACCAUUGUUGAUAUUUUGCUCCAUUUAUUUAUCAGUCACUGUCUUUCUCUUUAUUUUUACGUUCAUGUUUUUGUUUUCCCACAAACCACUGGUUAGUUGGAGACCUUAUGGCCCUUUACUCCAAAUGGUUCAGUCUGUAAUUCCUAAGAACAAGGACAUUCUCUUAUGCAACCACGGUACACUGAUCAAAGUCAGGAAAUUUACCACUGUGAUAAGGCUGUUGUUCAAUCCACAGUCCUUGUUUCACUUUUGUCAGUUGUUCCAACGACGUCUCCUAUUUCUAUUUUUCUUUCCUGGUCCAAGAUCUAGUCCAGACUAACAAAUUGUGAUUUAGUGGUCUGGUCUUCUUAGUUUCUUUUCAUGUGGAACUGUUCCUCAACUUGACUUUGUAUUUCUUGACCUUGACAUUUUUUGAAGAAUAUAAGUCAUUCAUUUUGUAGAAGGUCCCUUAGUUUUAGUUUAUCUGAUGUUUCUUCAUGAGUAGAUUAGAUUCAUUUUUGGCAAAAAAGACCACAGUAAGGAUGUUGGGUUCUUCUCAGUACAUCCCAGCGGGAAGCAUAUGAUGUUGGUUUGGCCCGAUUGGAGAUCUUACCAUUGUUUUAUAACAGCAAUGGAAGGUUUUUUGAGCUUUAUUUUUCCCAUUUGGCAGGCAUCUUGCAUUGCAGUAUGAUUUUCUAUUUUGCACAAGCAUGAUACUGUGAAGUUUCUGAAUUAGUUUUGAUUAAUUGCAAAUAACCAAAGCGCAAUAACCUGUUUUUUUCUUAAAGGAAGCAAGUUUAAAAUAAUACCCAUUCAUUUUUACUUGUGAAGUUUUAAUGACAACUGGUAUACUUAGAUCAAAACAAAAUAUACUUAGACCCAGCAGGCAGGAGUGGGAGCAAAACACACACACACACAUAUAUAUACUAUUUCAGACAAUAAUGAGAAAACUAUAUAUUUGCAAAUCUAUUUUUAAAAUAUUAAUUUAUCCUUAAAGUCCAAGACCUUUAUGAUUAACAUGGUGCUCUACUACGUAAUAUACUGUAAAAACAGAAGAAACCCCUAUGGCAUACUGGAGAGAAGUGAAUUAUUUUUGUAGCAUGGAUCUUAACAGUAACUGCUGCAUAAUGAUUUUGGGCAGAUUCUCAGAGCCUGACAGAGGGGAGUCAUGGGACUGGUUGUGCCAAGGGGAAGAAGCUGAAAACUGAGCCAAAGAAGAUUUUAAAAUAAGAGCUGUGUCAACAUGCAUAAAUUCACUUGCUUUGAAGAAGCUGUAAUGGGAUCCAGGAACAGGAAAAAAGAAUAUUUAUUGUUUUGCCUUUGCAUGCCAAAAUGUAAUCUCUCCUUUUCUUCUCUCCUUUCCUUAAAACAACAAUUAUCUGCAUGUAGAAUGAGUGAGUUUUAAAUGAACCAUUCAGUGCUCUUUUCUGUUCUCACUUCCAGGACUGGGAGGCAACACCAUAGACUAGAAGUCUCCUGACUUUGGAGUCAGACUGACCCCUGCAUGCACUUGGCCUCAGUGUCUGUCUUUAUUUUUCAUUUUUAUGUUUUAAUAACAAACCCUUUUAUUUAUUAUGUAUUGGCCAUACCACAGGGAAUGUGAAACUUUCCCGACCAAGGAUCAAAUCCAUGCCCGUUGCAGUGGAAGCACAGAGUCUUAACCACUGGAUCACCAGGGAAGUCCCCGUGUCUCUGUCUUUAAAUAGGGGAUAAACCUUGUUGGGUUGCAAGGAUUAGAAAUGACAUAUGCUUCCCUGGUAGCUCAUUUGAUAAAGAAUCUGCCUGCAGUACAGGAGACCUGGGUUUGAUCCCUGGGUUGGGAAGUUCCCCUGGAGAAGGGAAUGGCAACCCGCUCCAGUAUUCUUGCCUGGAGAAUCCCAUGGACAGAGGAGCCUGGCGGGCUACAGUCCAUGGGGUCGCAAAGAGUCGGACACGACUGAGCGAUCCAAACUUGAAUGAGAAAGAACCUACAGUACUUUACAAAUACUAUGGUCCAUAGUGGACAUUCAAUAAUGGAAGCUGCACACAAGGACAAUGGAGUUUAAAGAAAAGAACCCUGGCCUGGGAACUGGGGCACCAGAGUUCUGUUACCCAAAAACUGAGUUCAUCUCUUGGUGGGUGUCAAGUCAAAAGACACAGCCAAGCCAGAGAUCGAUCAGGAGGAGGAAGGAGUCAUUACUUGCCGCAAGUAAGGAGAACACCCACCGGGGAUCUUUCCCAAAGCAGUGUCUCCCCAAAGACCAAACGGGAAGUUUUAAACUAAGGGUACAUGCUUAUUUGUGAAUUGGGCAGAGAAUAAUUUAGCAUAGCAUUGGGGCAAGGGUUGACAGAGUUCAAGCUUUAGGUGACUGAAGUCUUAAGGAUCAGAAAAGGUCAACAUCUUCAUUCCAUCCUCCACCUGGCUGCGGGCCUUAGUUCCCACAGAACUCAAAGAUAAUGUAUCAGAUUGUUGUGUAUAUCGCUUAAAGAGAAACUGGGACUCUGUUUUAUUGCUGAGCUAUUGUUUCUUGACUGAUUUUCCUUUGUUCCUGCAUCCCCUCACUUCCCUUGCAAUCAUUAAUUACUGAGGCCUGUUCAAGGGCAAGCAUUGCGGCCAGGCUUAGAUCACAAAAUGGCUUAGGCCAAAAAUGACUUCUCUCCUUUCAAGAAAGCCAUGCCUGGUUCUCUUUCUCUGGGGACCCCUACCCUAACUGCUUACAGUCCUCUCCCUGAGCCUUCAUUUCACUAACAAGCAUCUAAACUUGGGCUGUGCUUUUUCUGGAUUGUUGUCUCAUUUGAGAAGUGAUGGCUGGAGAGAAACACAGGUCUAGUUGGAGGAGCACCAGCAUGCUGCCACUAAUGCAAGACGGGAAGUUCUUCACUGGAGAGCUGACCAAUGAGCUGUGGGACACAGGUGAACAAGCGAACGAGCAGUCAGCUCUGCCUGGAUGACGGUGGCAUUUGAGCUGGCCCUUGAAUGCUCAUGUGUGGCUUUUCCACGGGAGAAAGGAGGUGUUUCAGAAGGUAGUUACUGCUAUUAACUGUGCAGGAUAGUGUGGUUCUUCUGAGUUUUUACAAACUGUUGCGGACGUGCAAGUUGGCAUGACUGCCAAUAAGCAGAUGGACCCCUGCAACAUGAGUUUUGGAUGAGAGAAGUGUCUCACAGACUCCUUUGGGCCAAGAAUAGAUGAGGGCAGUCAAGAGGACAUUAAUCCAUGAUGUCUACAUUUUCACCAUUGCCAAGAUUUUGUUGAUGAUGAGGAAGUUGCUUUGAAAAUGCAGGCUGGAGUUGGAGUCAAGGCCUGGCACUAGCUCUGGCCGCUGUCAGCUGCCCUGCCAAGACACCAGCUGCUAAGAAGGACUGGCUACAUAAUUUGCAGGCCCAGGGCAAAAUGAAAACAAGGGGCCCCUCAUUCAAGAUUUAUUAACAAUUUCAAGACAGUGAGAGCAGAAAGUUAAACCAAGUACAGGACCCUUCUGAGCCUGAGGAGGCCUGUCAGAGCCCUGUUGCCCCUGCAACAUGGCAGAAAAGGACAACUGGGUUCCCAGGGCCCUAACUCCAGAGGAAUGGCCAGAACUGGAGAACAUUCCAGGAAGCAAACAGGAGCUGCAGUCUGAAGAUUAGAGACUGAAGGCCAAGAUAGCAGAAUAGCUACUGAAAUUGAGGACCCUGGGAUCCACAGAUGAAAGGAAACCGUUCAGGGCAACCAACAGGUGGCCUGGGCAGGAGAAAAUCAAUGUAGGGGCUGAAAGCAGAUCCAGUUCUUAACAGGAUGGUCUAUCGAAGGCCACUGAUGAAGAAAUUGGCCCAGUUCUUGAAGAAAGGUGAAGGACUUGGCAAAAUUGCCAAUAGGGAGCGUUUGCAGAAGAGAAAAGUUUAAUAUCUAGGUUCGCCCUGGGCUUGUAACAAGGAAGUAGAGUUCACUGAUCUAGACUUUGUCCGGCCAUUUCAGCAAUUCCUGAGGAACUUGGGAACGCAGGGAGAGGCACAGAGGACUGAUGUGAUGAUGGAGGCCUUUGCCCAGUGAUAGUGUCAUCAAGAAGGCUUUAGUGCCCAGAUACUGAUGUCCUCUCCUUUGCACAUCUUGUUGAAUACCAGCUAGAACCCCGAAGUCAUAGAGAAGCCCGCAGCAGAAAGGUUCACUGCCAUGAACAGAGCCAGCCAUCAGUGAUGGACGAGCAACUCUAGAAGCUGUAAUUUUUCAAAUUAACAUUAACCAAGUUUGCCUCUCACUUGCUUCUUCCCGGUGCCCAUUUUUCACAAAAAACGUAGGUAACUAACAUGUAAUACCCAAGAGCUUUCUAUUCGGUGCUGAAACGCAGAGCUGGCCCUGGCUGAUGAUAAUGGAAAUCACAAUUCUAAUGGAUUAAAUUGUAGCAUUUGAAGAGUUAAGAAAAAAGCGGCAGUGCUUUUAGACUCCAGGGUGGAUCCAAGCAUUUCAUUUUCUUGGCUUGGCCAGGAAAUCAGAGGGGCCUGGGCUUGGGGGCCGGUCUGGGGGAAGUGCGGGGGGUGGGCCCCCCGGAAGUCGUGCUGCGCGGUUUAAACCUAAGGUGACCUAACGGACGGCGGGAGCGCCCGCCCGAUCCUCGGCGCGGGGCGCGGCCAUUGGUGACGCACGCCGGGGAGCACGGCGCCCACGUUUCCACCAUUGCCUUCGCGCGGCCUCACACCCGGCGCUCCGAGUCCCGGGCUGCGGUCGUCCUCUCUUC